rnacentral:lncRNA from 1 species
AGACAGAACAUUUGCUCCAAAGCCAUUGAAUGGGCUGGGAUGGAGCAUGCAUGGUUUUAGCUUCAUCUCCCACAACUGUGGCUUUGUUCUGUGUUGGUGGCAGGUGGUUUCCAAAAGGAAAAGCUUUGGGAGAUAGAAGUCCUCGUUUUGACCUCUGCCCUCCUUGUACACCAGGAGCCAGAAAAACUUCAUCUCUUUUACAAGAAACAUUGAGAUUCCUGUAAAAUUAAGAAAUCACACAAUUUGAUGGUCUACAUUAUCUAAAGCAAAUGAGACUUCUAUUUGGAACAAAGACUACCUUGUUGGGAAAUGAGUCUGCAAGUUAAAGUGUUUUCUGGAUCCAGUAUCUGCCGGAGGAGCCCCACCUUCUGCUACUAUUAUGUUCUUCAGAUGAGUAGAAGAGAGUGGGGAGGGAGAGAGCAGGAAGAAGAAAGGAAGAAUAAUGUCUUGAAAUUGUUUUCUAAGGAUAAUGGUCUCCAGCUUCGUCAAUGUUCCUGCAAAGGACAUGAUGCUGACUUUGAAGAUGCAAGCUUCCACAUCUACAGCCUCAAGGAAACAAAUUCAGCCAACCAACUGAGGGAGCUUUCCUUGUCCUGCCUCAAGAUGAGAUCACAGUCUGCCCAACACCAUGAUUUAGGCCUUGUGACACCUGAGCUCAGAUGGAAAAGAAUGGUGUUACUGAGACCCUUCAAGAUUCCCAGUGUAAUUCAAUAAAGAAAAGGCAACACAAAGGGGUUGUAUAGAAUUCGCCACAUUAUGGACCCAUGUCAUAGAGAGAAUCCACGGUGCAUUUGUUAGCUGCAUUUAAAUGACAACACUUUCAGAUCCAAGAUUUAUUUGGGAUAAAAAUUUACCUGGAUGCAAGGCUAUUCAGAAUGAAGAUUAAUGAUAUGGUUUGGCUGUGUCCCCACCCAAACUUCAUCUUGAAUUCCCACGUGUUGUGAGAGGGACCUGGUGGGAGAUAAUUGAACCAUGGGGGCAGGUCUUUCUCAUGCUGUUCUCAUGAGAGUGAAUAAGUCUCAUGAAACCUGAUGGUUUUAUAAGGGGGAAUUUCCCUGCACAAGCUCUCUCUCUGCCUUUUGCCAUCCAUGUAAGACGUGACUUGGUCCUCCUUGCCUUCUACCAUGAUUAUGAGGCCUCCCCAGCCACGUGGAACUGUGAGUCCAUUAAACCUCUUUCUUUUGUAAA